CCUACGGGCGGCUGCAGUGGGGAAUAUUGCACAAUGGGCGCAAGCCUGAUGCAGCCAUGCCGCGUGUGUGAAGAAGGCCUUCGGGUUGUAAAGCACUUUCAGCGGGGAGGAAGGCGGUGAGGUUAAUAACCUCAUCGAUUGACGUUACCCGCAGAAGAAGCACCGGCUAACUCCGUGCCAGCAGCCGCGGUAAUACGGAGGGUGCAAGCGUUAAUCGGAAUUACUGGGCGUAAAGCGCACGCAGGCGGUCUGUCAAGUCGGAUGUGAAAUCCCCGGGCUCAACCUGGGAACUGCAUUCGAAACUGGCAGGCUAGAGUCUUGUAGAGGGGGGUAGAAUUGCAGGUGUAGCGGUGAAAUGCGUAGAGAUCUGGAGGAAUACCGGUGGCGAAGGCGGCCCCCUGGACAAAGACUGACGCUCAGGUGCGAAAGCGUGGGGAGCAAACAGGAUUAGAUACCCGAGUAGUC
rnacentral:rRNA from 1 species